rnacentral:lncRNA from 1 species
UCUUGAUGGGCCUCGUUUUCUAUUAUCUUAGAGUGAGUAAGAUCCUACUCAUAGGUUCCAGUACAUAAAUCUUAGGAUUAGGAUUAGGUAUACUAUGGUUCCUUCUCUAACUAGGAGGCUCCCCCGUCGGUUCUGCCGGUCCCCCAUGAUAUCAGAGCCCCGUUGGUCCCUUAUGGUAUCAGAGCCAUGGUUGAUCUAAGUCCCCCGUCG